AGGUAUGGUAUUACGGUAUUGCACUAAUGACAGAAUGUUCGAGAUGACCGAAACGUCCUCUGCCCAUUCGGUCACCUGACCAAUUUUCUCCCGGAACUGAAUGAUUUCGGAAUAACAUGGCGUCAAAGGCAAUUGGUUGUUAUCUCGUUACCCAGAAUGUUGCGUUUUUAAAUCUGCCAUGUUUACUCUGGAAAUCAGAACUAUAGCCUACAAAGCCUAUUCUAUUGUUUAUGUCUGUCUUAAUAUGAGUGAAAAUUCUACCGGAUUCUAGAGAUCUCCUUGAUUAACACCUAGCCUACCUUCAUUCAGCGAGUGCCUUGGGCAAGUGCCGAGCUGCGGGAUGAGAAAUGGUGCACCUGUGUGCUGUCUAAAGAUAGGCUAGCAGUAGAGGGCCAGAGAGCAGACUCCAGAGGACCCAUCCGUCUCAAUCGAAGGCUGCAGCUGACACCUUACAAAGAGGUGCCAAUAAUACCUUGGAGGUCUUGAGGAAAUCAUGGUCAUAAGCAAGCUAGCGAAAGUACUAAAGGCCUCCUCCUCUUAGUAGCUCUUAUCUUCAGUGAACUCUUUAAAAUGGAAGGUCCUCCAUGGAGACUGGGUCAAUAUCCUGAGGGCUGGCACAGCAGAGAGGACUAUUGAUCUCUCCGUAUCUGUUUCCAGUGCUCUACCUCAGCUCACAUGAUACAUGCCACAAUUCCUGCCCUUGUUCCUAUCAAAGGGCCCUUCUGCAGGGCUACAAAGACGGCCGUGGCUUUCCGCCCAACAUGGGGCGAUUUUGAAGUUGUUUGGUGACAUAAUACUGUAACUGAUCAUAUGGAGGCCUUUAUAACCUUGUGGCGAAACAGAGACGCAGAUUGCCAGCGAGCCCUGUCAAUCAGAGGGAGAGGAGAUUGGCGGCGAGGUGCGAGGCCUCUGUGAAAAUGAAAAGGAAAAAAAAGCAAAUCAGGUUAACUGGUGAUCAACCAAAUGUCUCUGACUCUAAUGAGGCCUUAGUCGCCCAUGGCAAUGCGUAGUUCAGGAGCAGGGUCUUUCUCUUUUCCUUGUGCAAUCCUUUGAUCAUGUUUGCUUUUCCACUGCUGGGAUUCUCAUUGUUGUUUUUAAUUACUUCUCCGCCAAAUGGCACAGAUGAAAGAUAGGUGUCUGUAAUUAAUAACAUUUACAUAAAUUAGCAUCACUAACAAGUCUCAUUAGUAGCUUCUGGCUUUUGUUUUGACUGAAGUCUCAUGUCACCUUCUUAUAUAAGCUCUAAGUAUAGAGAACAAUAUCAGAAAGGGGGCAUAAUUCACUUGAUCUCCGCCAUAUUUUUGGUUACUUCAGUGGAGGUAAUUAAAUCCACCACACAUUCCAAUGAUUAGGGUCAACCUGUGGAAAUAUGCUGACUUCUUUAUUAUGGCAUAAUAGAAUCGGCCAACUCUAUUCAAUUAGUCAGUUCAGAGAGAUACUUUGUGGUGGUGAACAUGCAGUUUUCAGUCAGGCUCAAAUGGCUGAUCAAAGACGCUUGCAGCUUGCCGUUUGGCUGCGUAUAAUGAGGGUCAGGACAAUGCGCUUUAUCUGCGGUUGCUAUGCAGGAGACUCUUAAAUGCGCCAUUUUAGUCUUUUGAUAUUGGUCAGCAUGAUAAUGACGGGGAGAAAUUUGCUCCCGUUGCAAUCAAUAUCUAUAGGGCCGCAAAUGAAAGAGAGGAAAAAGCUUUCUUUCAGGUGGACCUGUCACCUGAUAAUGACGGAAAAGCCCACAGGUUUGUCUUCAGUGCAGUGGAAGUCAUGCCUGAAAUGGUAGAUUACUUUUAUGCAGUACCUCCACAAAGGCUUCGCAUAUGCGGCAUGGCAAAUGGAGCAGACCCGGGGCUCGGUAAUGACUCCCGAAUGCCGCUCGCUGCCUGCGCUCGUAUGCUUUAUAAUGAUGCAUUAUGUCGUCUCCGCACAGCGAAACCAUUUUUUCCCCCCUCCCUCUUUAUCUUUUAAGUGUGCUGAGGAAAAAAAAAAAAACAUGCAUAUUUACGUCUGGUGUGGUAAAUAGACUUUAUAUAAGCCGCAUUUGUUGUGAUGUUUGCUUGCGUGCACCAAAUCGUCUCCUGCCUCGGAUAAAGAGCCCCACACACACAUUCUGUAACAAUGUGCUUCAGCUGAGUAGAUCAAUAAUGCACUCUCUUUCUGAUGCCGGUACCAAGCGCUCUGUGAUUAGUUUGACAGAAAAUGACUCCCUAAUCAGUGAAAUGUAUUCUGUUUUGGUGGCUAAAUGAGGGUGUUUACACUCAUCCCCGUGCAGGUCAGGGAAACUCCACACUUUGCUGCUUUGAGACAGAGCACUAUAAUCUGUGCCAAAAGGACAGGCUGUCAUUACAUGCGAAUGGAGUAAUAGACUGACAUUGAUGCUAUGGCGAACAAUUGGUUUUCCGGCAUCAGUCAGGUGGGCUGCCGACUAAAUGAUGAGGGAGAAGAGGCAAAGUGUUUGUGUGUGUGUGUGUAUGUGAGAGAGAGAGAGAGAACGGCUGUCAGAGGGAUCAUAGAGCAGGAAAGCCUGUCUUGUCUUUGUGAUGGAGUCUCGCUCAGCAUGGGAGAUCUGACUCCGUGCCAGUCUUUGACUGUCUCUGCUUAUGUAACGUAAUAGUAUCACCUUUUGUGUGUAAAUGUGUGCGUAUGUUUUUUUUAUUUUAUUUUGAGUGCUUUAACUGUUUGUGAAGAUGUGCAUAUCAUUCAGCCACUGUACCUCUCUUAACAGUGCCAUUAUGUGCAAUGAAAGUGCUGAUAUUAAUUUUGUUCAUUUAAAACAAUUAUCCUCUCCAUAUUUUAAUAGACAUUCUCAGCCGCUUGUCAAAUGGAGACAUCUGUAACAUAAUGAAGCCUUUCUCUCGCUAUCAUUGUCUCCAUUCCGCCUCUGUUCUUCUUAUAUGUGACACUCUUUCUAACAAAGACCUCCGAUCGCGCAAAAUGCGACGUCUUAUUCAAACUUGCACAUUUGAAUCGAAAUAGAGACGUCACUGUCCAUAAUCCUGUGGAUGACAAGUGCGUGACAGAGUUCAGAGGUCAAUGGCUGUCAAAGUCUGGUCAUUUUUGGGGGGGAUUUGUCCUCUUCCAUUCAAGUGAAAAUCGCGAUGAUGCUUUGUCUGCGGCACUAUGCCGGAAACAGGCAGAACAAGAGAGGCCUCAGUGCUAAAUUCUCACCUGUCAGUGCGCUGGCCUGGUUAGAAAAAGGGCAGGGGAAAGGCUUCGACUGGCCAAUAGUUGGGGUCAAGGACGGACCAGGCGCUGCCACUCCCCAGCCACAUCAUCUUUGUAUGACAGCACCACCCUUAGGUUGAAGUUCAGUUGGGCUUUUUCAGUGACACAGAGCUUAACGUCAAACACAAGAUUAAAGCAGGGGUGUUGCAUCUUGGCAGAGCCCAAAUGAAAAUAUCAAGCGCUAAGCCCUUCUCCGUGUCGAGCGGAGCCAAGGGGACAGGUAGCUAAUAUUAGAGAGAGGAGACGGCCUAGUUAGCAGCGACUGCCUGCUGCUUUCCGAGUGCUCGGUCCUGGUCAAAAGGCCACCCGGGCUUUGCUGCUGCUUUAUUGGUAAAAUAUAUUACAGUUGAGGCCAGCCGAACUGCCUUAUUAGAAGGUGGGGGGUGUGAAAGAGAUGCCCCUUUGACAUAUUUCCCAAGCGCCACGCAUAUCUCCAUAUUACUGAAUAAAUUACUAUAAGUCCGGAUUGUACUACUCUGCCUUUUAAUAUCUGGGGCUUUAUGAGGAGUCAAUAAUUGGCUCGUUUAAACAAACAUUACCUCAGUAACGACGGCGGACAAAUUUGAUCAUUUUAGUCGAGGAAAGGAUGGGAAGUCUUUUCAAAGUUCUAUACAAAGAAAGACUUUUCUACUUUUCAAAGUUGAACAAACAUUUAAAACAGCAAAACACAGUAAUCAGCCACUGCAUUAUGAGCUUCAGCUACUUGGUUACCUUAUCUUGUGUUAGAAAAGAAAAGAAAAAGAAAUACAAUCAGAUUCUCACGUUAAGGAAUUCUUUUAUAGCGGAUAUAGGCUAGCUGGUUCUGGUUUUUCGAUUACCGUCUCGUAUUGCUGUUGGCUUUUAAUGAAACACAAGUGGUGAGCUGAAUAUCUUUAACAGUUUGUUUUAACAGGCUUCAUGCAUGUGAGAUGAGAGGAGCCGAGGAGAAGUCACUGAAGCUCAUUAACCGCGCACAGUGGAGUCAAAGGCCAUCGCCCAGACCGCUGAGCAGUCACUUGACCAGAAAUAUCUAUUGAAUAUGUUGCUGCUUUCUGCUGUGACAUAUGCUCCAGUCAGCCUGCACAACCCCUCUGGUAAGGAAGAAUGAAGAAUUAUGCAAGAAGCCAUGUUGCCCUAGUGCAUCACCUUCACCGCC